UCUGUCGCUCACGUUCCCGUUUCUCCCCUGUGCACAUUCCCUCUCACCCUCUCCCAUUUCUUUUUAACACCUCUUUCGACUUCUUUUCUUCUUUUCCCAGUCUCCUAAGCUCUCUCUGUACAGGUGUAGGAGUCACUUCUGUCACGGAUGAUUGUUACAUGACACCAACUCUUCUUAGACUCUCAAUUGACACUAAGAAUAACCAUUAGAAAGUUUGGAGUUCACUGCUGCAGUCAUCAAACUCCAUGUUAUCCAAGAACCCACUGAAUCGGAUAAGCAGAAGAGGAUGGAUGGAUUCAAAUGCGGCCGCAGACCGACAGCAAAACUGGACUCCAACGCAGAAAACCACAACAG